UUGAUCCUGCCAGUAGUCAUAUGCUUGUCUCAAAGAUUAAGCCAUGCAUGUCUCAGUACAAGCCACAUUAAGGUGAAACCGCGAAAGGCUCAUUAAAUCAGUUAUGGUUCCUUAGAUCGUACCCACAUUUACUUGGAUAACUGUGGUAAUUCUAGAGCUAAUACAUGCAAACAGAGUUCCGACCGGAGACGGGAGGAAUGCUUUUAUUAGAUCAAAACCAAUCGGCGGCGGGUGCGUUCGCGUGCCCGUUCGCCGCUCAACCUGGUGACUCUGAAUAACUUUCGGCUGAUCGCACGGUCUAGCACCGGCGACGCAUCUUUCAAAUGUCUGCCUUAUCAACUGUCGAUGGUAGGUUCUGCGCCUACCAUGGUCGUAACGGGUAACGGGGAAUCAGGGUUCGAUUCCGGAGAGGGAGCCUGAGAAACGGCUACCACAUCCAAGGAAGGCAGCAGGCGCGCAAAUUACCCACUCCCGGCACGGGGAGGUAGUGACGAAAAAUAACGA
rnacentral:rRNA from 1 species